GGUUGUUUGCAACACUAUUGUAACUUUGGAACGGUCUUGUCCCGUGUAUGAUACACGAAGGUCAGCAACUUUGGCAUCCCAUAAGGCUGAAUCCUCGGCGUGAUAUGGGACAGCCUUGGCUAUGCAUUGCUGACAUAUGUGCACCACGUGCGGCUCCCAACCUAAUUGCUUUAAGGGUGAUGUUGGACGCAAGUGGUGGUAUCUUAAUGGCUGCCUUGCGUGUCGCCUUGCCAACGACCUUUCGCCAUGAUCUUGGAAAAUGUGCAUAUCGCAAUUCGCCUUGGAUGGUGUGGGUUUAACCCGUGGGCCACGUCGCUGACAAUCUCCGGCAGUCGGGUGGCCAUACAGAGUCACGAAGCUUUGCGUGUACUGAAUGGUUCGUGCCUGGUACUUGACAUGGAGGUAAAACUUUUGCUCAACACGACAGUACAAGCCACCUGCCUGCGAGGAUUUCCCGGAAGGGCAGCACUUGUAUAGUGUAAGUGUGAAAAGGGGGCAUGAACACUUGGAGACAAUGUCAACGAUCAGCUUCCUAAACAGGAAUUGUCUCCAGGGUAUCGGAGGUGUGCUAAGUGGGGACGAAUUCUGCGCAAAGGAUCGAUGGCCGAUUGUGGCAUAAAAACCUAUCUCGUGUUAGCCGUGACGGGAUAGAUGUGAAUAAUAGGUAUUAAAUCGUUAUUUUGGGGAUUUGCCCGCUUCGUUGGGAAGCUAAGCUGCGUAUCAAACUACUGCACCCGAUAUCAACAUGGGUAUAUGGAAAUAAAUGCAAGCCUUCUGGAAAUAUGUUCUUGCAAGAGAAUCCAUCUAGAAUGUGACAACUUGAAGAGCGGUUCCGUCUUGGGGGGGCUUGGUUCCUGAGCAUGCGAAACAUGAUAUGCCUACUCGUUAUUCCGCGUGUCAGCAGUGGGGGCUAAUACUCAUGGAGAUUGCUACCAAGCCGCGCGCCAAAGCAGUAAGCAUAAGCGGGCAGUGUUCGGAGUAAAGCUAUUAUCUCCGGAACGAAAAGGAAGCCUAGAGGUCAGCUUUAAGAUGCCGGUAGUUGGCAGAUGGGGAACGAAUCAUAUGGCGUUCUCGGAUGACUGCCGAUAGACAACUGGAGUCCCGGUUGUCCGGGCUCUUAUAAACCAAAGCGGGGAUGUCUUUACACAUUGGUCAAAUGUGGGCAUGUGGUGCCAGCUCAAC